rnacentral:rRNA from 1 species
CUUUCUACAGGCUUAACACAUGCAAGUCGAGGGGCAGCACGGUCUUAGCUUGCUAAGACUGAUGGCGACCGGCGCACGGGUGAGUAACACGUAUCCAACCUGCCGUCUACUCUUGGACAGCCUUCUGAAAGGAAGAUUAAUACAAGAUGGCAUCAUGAGUCCGCAUGUUCACAUGAUUAAAGGUAUUCCGGUAGACGAUGGGGAUGCGUUCCAUUAGAUAGUAGGCGGGGUAACGGCCCACCUAGUCUUCGAUGGAUAGGGGUUCUGAGAGGAAGGUCCCCCACAUUGGAACUGAGACACGGUCCAAACUCCUACGGGAGGCAGCAGUGAGGAAUAUUGGUCAAUGGGCGAGAGCCUGAACCAGCCAAGUAGCGUGAAGGAUGACUGCCCUAUGGGUUGUAAACUUCUUUUAUAAAGGAAUAAAGUCGGGUAUGCAUACCCGUUUGCAUGUACUUUAUGAAUAAGGAUCGGCUAACUCCGUGCCAGCAGCCGCGGUAAUACGGAGGAUCCGAGCGUUAUCCGGAUUUAUUGGGUUUAAAGGGAGCGUAGAUGGAUGUUUAAGUCAGUUGUGAAAGUUUGCGGCUCAACCGUAAAAUUGCAGUUGAUACUGGAUAUCUUGAGUGCAGUUGAGGCAGGCGGAAUUCGUGGUGUAGCGGUGAAAUGCUUAGAUAUCACGAAGAACUCCGAUUGCGAAGGCAGCCUGCUAAGCUGCAACUGACAUUGAGGCUCGAAAGUGUGGGUAUCAAACAGGAUUAGAUACCCUGGUAGUCCACACGGUAAACGAUGAAUACUCGCUGUUUGCGAUAUACUGCAAGCGGCCAAGCGAAAGCGUUAAGUAUUCCACCUGGGGAGUACGCCGGCAACGGUGAAACUCAAAGGAAUUGACGGGGGCCCGCACAAGCGGAGGAACAUGUGGUUUAAUUCGAUGAUACGCGAGGAACCUUACCCGGGCUUAAAUUGCAGAUGAAUUACGGUGAAAGCCGUAAGCCGCAAGGCAUCUGUGAAGGUGCUGCAUGGUUGUCGUCAGCUCGUGCCGUGAGGUGUCGGCUUAAGUGCCAUAACGAGCGCAACCCUUGUUGUCAGUUACUAACAGGUUCCGCUGAGGACUCUGACAAGACUGCCAUCGUAAGAUGUGAGGAAGGUGGGGAUGACGUCAAAUCAGCACGGCCCUUACGUCCGGGGCUACACACGUGUUACAAUGGGGGGUACAGAGGGCCGCUACCACGCGAGUGGAUGCCAAUCCCCAAAACCUCUCUCAGUUCGGACUGGAGUCUGCAACCCGACUCCACGAAGCUGGAUUCGCUAGUAAUCGCGCAUCAGCCACGGCGCGGUGAAUACGUUCCCGGGCCUUGUACACACCGCCCGUCAAGCCAUGGGAGCCGGGGGUACCUGAAGUGCGUAACCGCGAGGAGCGCCCUAGGGUAAAACUGGUGAC